rnacentral:rRNA from 1 species
GACGAACGCUGGCGGCGUGCUUAACACAUGCAAGUCGAACGGAAAGGCCCUGCUUUUGUGGGGUGCUCGAGUGGCGAACGGGUGAGUAACACGUGAGUAACCUGCCCUUGACUUUGGGAUAACUUCAGGAAACUGGGGCUAAUACCGGAUAGGAGCUCCUGCUGCAUGGUGGGGGUUGGAAAGUUUCGGCGGUUGGGGAUGGACUCGCGGCUUAUCAGCUUGUUGGUGGGGUAGUGGCUUACCAAGGCUUUGACGGGUAGCCGGCCUGAGAGGGUGACCGGCCACAUUGGGACUGAGAUACGGCCCAGACUCCUACGGGAGGCAGCAGUGGGGAAUAUUGCACAAUGGGCGGAAGCCUGAUGCAGCAACGCCGCGUGCGGGAUGACGGCCUUCGGGUUGUAAACCGCUUUCGCCUGUGACGAAGCGUGAGUGACGGUAAUGGGUAAAGAAGCACCGGCUAACUACGUGCCAGCAGCCGCGGUGAUACGUAGGGUGCGAGCGUUGUCCGGAUUUAUUGGGCGUAAAGGGCUCGUAGGUGGUUGAUCGCGUCGGAAGUGUAAUCUUGGGGCUUAACCCUGAGCGUGCUUUCGAUACGGGUUGACUUGAGGAAGGUAGGGGAGAAUGGAGUUCCUGGUGGAGCGGUGGAAUGCGCAGAUAUCAGGAGGAACACCAGUGGCGAAGGCGGUUCUCUGGGCCUUUCCUGACGCUGAGGAGCGAAAGCGUGGGGAGCGAACAGGCUUAGAUACCCUGGUAGUCCACGCUGUAAACGGUGGGUACUAGGUGUGGGGUCCAUUCCACGGGUUCCGUGCCGUAGCUAACGCUUUAAGUACCCCGCCUGGGGAGUACGGCCGCAAGGCUAAAACUCAAAGGAAUUGACGGGGCCCCGCACAAGCGGCGGAGCAUGCGGAUUAAUUCGAUGCAACGCGUAGAACCUUACCUGGGUUUGACAUGGAUCGGGAGCGCUCAGAGAUGGGUGUGCCUCUUUUGGGGUCGGUUCACAGGUGGUGCAUGGCUGUCGUCAGCUCGUGUCGUGAGAUGUUGGGUUAAGUCCCGCAACGAGCGCAACCCUUGUUCACUGUUGCCAGCACGUUAUGGUGGGGACUCAGUGGAGACCGCCGGGGUCAACUCGGAGGAAGGUGGGGAUGACGUCAAGUCAUCAUGCCCCUUAUGUCCAGGGCUUCACGCAUGCUACAAUGGCUGGUACAGAGAGUGGCGAGCCUGUGAGGGUGAGCGAAUCUCGGAAAGCCGGUCUCAGUUCGGAUUGGGGUCUGCAACUCGACCUCAUGAAGUCGGAGUCGCUAGUAAUCGCAGAUCAGCAACGCUGCGGUGAAUACGUUCCCGGGGCU